AAAAUAUAUGACAUAGACUUGUAAUUCAAAGGGCUUGUGCCCCAUAUUAUCAUCCUUUUGAAGUACACCACAAUGUGCAUAUAUAGGUAUAUAUUUAUAUAUAUACUCUGUUCACAUUACUGCAACCAUUAAAGCAUAAUUAACUUCAAUCUAUGCCUAAUCCUUGCUAUCUAGCAAGCUACUUACAUUCCAAGUAGCUAUAGCUAGCUAUAUUGCUUCCUUGCUUAUUAAUUAAUUAAUUCUACAUUAUAAUUGACACAAUUUAUUUGCAUGAUUGAGAUAGUAAAAUAGUUGCACACUCUCUAAUCUUAGCUCUCUUUCUCUUGCUCUCCCACUCUUCCCCAACUUCUAAUCUCACACCAAACAACUUUGGCCUCUCAUCACCAUCAUCAUCUUCUUCUUUCUCCAAGUGUGCAUAUUUAGCCACUAAAUCAAGAAGCUCCUUGCACUUCUUUUUCAUGCCAGUGAGUUCCGAGCUCAAGACCCCGUUUUCUUUCUUGAGACGUUGAUUUUCAUCGAUUAAGGUACUGUAUUCAGACGACGACGAAGUUGAUGAUGAUCUUUGAUCUUCGUCAAAAUCUUGUGGUGUAGCUUGAAUUGGUGCGGUAGGUUGUUGCUUAUUAGACCAUGCUUUUCGUCGACGGAUUUGGCAAAGAAGCUCUCUUUCAGCCUUUCGAAACAUAUCAUUGCAGAACUCCCAUCGGCUAGUUGCAACUUUACGGAAACCAUAGGUAUUCAGUUGCCGGACAAAGCUGGAGAAGUUGCUGUGCUUGAACAGAGUUGGUAGAAGAUCACGGGCAAACUCCGCCGGUUGCCACACCACGAACCCUGUUCCGUCGCCGUUCCAAGAAAUCACGUGAUCAGUCGCCGGAUCCUCCACCAGCAUGUAGGUUUUGAGCAAGAAUGGUGGCGGAGUUGACUUCCGUACAUAUUCCAAGAAACCCUUAUUAUUGUUAUUGUUAUCUAUAGCUGUAGACUCCAUAAGAAAACUUUGCAAGAAAAUAAAAGAAAAGAAACUAAAAGAAACUAAAAGAAAAGAAAAGAAACAGAAAGAGAGAGAAUUAAGGGGAGGCAGAGAAGAGAAGAAGGGCAGUUAAGAACUCCCAACCCCAGCAAUAGAAACCCAACACGACUCCACAGUUCAUGAGAAAUGCAAGGGCUUUUCUUUUCUCUCUUCUCUCCUCUCUCUUUUACAGAAGAAAGAAAUGGUUGAAACGUAUGUCCUAA
rnacentral:misc_RNA from 1 species